rnacentral:rRNA from 1 species
CCUACGGGAGGCAGCAGUGGGGAAUAUUGGGCAAUGGAGGCAACUCUGACCCAGCAAUGCCGCGUGAGUGAAGAAGGUUUUCGGUUUGUAAAGCUCUUUAAUCAGGGACGAAAAAGAUGACGGUACCUGACUAAGAAGCCACGGCAAACUACGUGCCAGCAGCCGCGGUAAUACAUAGGUGGCAAGCGUUAUCCGGAUUGACUGGGGGUAAAGGGAGCGUAGGCGGUGUGGUAAGUUGGAAGUGAAAGCCGGGGGCUCAACCCCGGAACUGCUUUGGAAACUGUAUGGCUGGAGUGUAGGAGAGGUAAGCGGAAUUCCUAGUGUAGCGGUGAAAUGCGUAGAUAUUAGGAGGAACACCAGUGGCGAAGGCGGCUUACUGGAUUAUAACUGACGCUGAGGCUCGAAAGCGUGGGUAGCAAACAGGAUUAGAUACCCCAGUAGUC